ensembl:piRNA 21ur-160 ncRNA
UAGUGAACUGUCUGUCUUCAU